UACGUAGGGUGCGAGCGUUAAUCGGAAUUACUGGGCGUAAAGGGUGCGUAGCUGGCUUAGUAAGUUAGCGGUGGGAAAUCGAGGCUUAACCUCGUGGAAGCCGGUAAUACUAUUAGGCUUGAGUGCAGGAGAGGUUAAUGGAACUCCAUGUGGAGCGGUAAAAUGCGUAGAUAUAUGGAAGAACAUCAAUAACGGCGAAGGCAAUUAACUAUUCUGCUACUGACAUUGAGGCACGAAAGCGUGGGGAGCAAAACGG
rnacentral:rRNA from 1 species